GGCCAGGUAGUUCAAUGGUUAGAACGUCACACGCAUGGAACUGUCGGGUUAGCGUUUGUUUAAUUCUACUGUACUGUACUGUACUCAUAGGCUCUGCUGGUGGGUGUAAGGAUAAUGUGAAGACGGGGGUUCGAUUCCUUCUCUGGCCA